UACGUAGGGGGCUAGCGUUGUCCGGAUUUAUUGGGCGUAAAGAGCGUGUAGGCGGCCAUGUAGGUCCGGUGUGAAAACUCGAGGCUUAACCUCGAGAUGUCAUCGGAAACCAUUUGGCUAGAGUCCGGAAGAGGAGAGUGGAAUUCCUGGUGUAGCGGUGAAAUGCGCAGAUAUCAGGAGGAACACCAAUGGCGAAGGCAGCUCGCUGGGACGGUACUGACGCUGAGACGCGAAAGCGUGGGGAGCAAACAGG
rnacentral:rRNA from 1 species